rnacentral:lncRNA from 1 species
UUGUCUGAUUUUCACUGAUUUCAGGCACAGUGGAUUGAAGUGGGGCUGUCAGUCACAUGGUGUUUGAGGACUCCCAUUGUAAAUCAGGGAUUCUUGCAGCCUGCUUUUUCAGGGACGUUGGCUGCUGUCUUCUGACCCACCCUGUGUGACUUUGGCGUCUCCUGUGACCUCCCAGUAUGGGUCUUGGCUUCAUCCUGCCUCUUUGCCUUUCUGGCCCACCACCCCCAACUUGAAUCUCAGGCUCCAACAGUUGCCUGACCCCCAGACUCUGAUGACAGCCUACCUACUUGUUCUUCAGACCCUGAGCAGACUCACUGCCCAGACACACCAUACACGAGAACAUGAAAGGGUAUUUGAGUUUGGGGCCAUGUCAUAGGAUGCACCUUGAAAUGAGCCACGAAAUGUGCAGUCUAAUGGUCUCUGUUGAUCCAUUUGCUGUCUGUGAAACUCCAGAAGUCAGAUGGAAAGGCCAAGGCCACCCCAAGCAUGCUGAAAUUAGUGGGCCAUCGUCAGGAAGAAGUUCGGAACUACAUAUGGAACCAGAUUGUGUAUUUUCUUCUGGCGUGUCUUCUGAUUUUUUAUAUCGAGUAAUAGGAAACAGGUAAAUUGAGGACUUAUGUUUAUCUGGUUAGGAGUCACGUUGUGUUUAGUGUUGCUCAUAGAUGUAGGUACUAAACAUUUCAAUCUCCUCUAGCAUCCUUGUUUUUGUUUUACUUCUUGAUUUUGGGUUUUUGUAUGUACUGUUGCUUAGGGAAAAUUUUUCUUUUGUAGUUCUUUUUUUUAUUUUUUAUUUUUUUGAGGUGGAGUCUUGCUUUGUCACCCAGGCUGGAG